GAUGAACGCUGGCGGCGUGCCUAAUACAUGCAAGUCGAGCGAACGGACGAGAAGCUUGCUUUUCUGAUGUUAGCGGCGGACGGGUGAGUAACACGUGGAUAACCUACCUAUAAGACUGGGAUAACUUCGGGAAACCGGAGCUAAUACCGGAUAAUAUUUUGAACCGCAUGGUUCAAAAGUGAAAGACGGUCUUGCUGUCACUUAUAGAUGGAUCCGCGCUGCAUUAGCUAGUUGGUAAGGUAACGUCUUACCAAGGCAACGAUGCAUAGCCGACCUGAGAGGGUGAUCGGCCACACUGGAACUGAGACACGGUCCAGACACCUACGGGAGGCAGCAGUAGGGAAUCUUCCGCAAUGGGCGAAAGCAUGACGGAGGAACGCCGCGUGAGUGAUGAAGGUCUUCGGAUCGUAAAACUCUGUUAUUAGGGAAGAACAUAUGUGUAAGUAACUGUGCACAUCUUGACGGUACCUAAUCAGAAAGCCACGGCUAACUACGUG
rnacentral:rRNA from 1 species